UACGUAGGGUGCAAGCGUUGUCCGGAAUUAUUGGGCGUAAAGAGCUUGUAGGCGGUUUGUCGCGUCUGCUGUGAAAUUUCGGGGCUCAACCCCGAACUUGCAGUGGGUACGGGCAGACUAGAGUGUGGUAGGGGGAGACUGGAAUUCCUGGUGUAGCGGUGAAAUGCGCAGAUAUCAGGAGGAACACCGAUGGCGAAGGCAGGUCUCUGGGCCACUACUGACGCUGAGAAGCGAAAGCAUGGAGAGCGAACAGG
rnacentral:rRNA from 1 species